AUUGAACGCUGGCGGCAUGCCUUACACAUGCAAGUCGAACGGUAGCAGGUCUUCGGAUGCUGACGAGUGGCGAACGGGUGAGUAAUGCAUCGGAACGUGCCCAGUAGUGGGGGAUAGCCCGGCGAAAGCCGGAUUAAUACCGCAUACGACCUGAGGGUGAAAGGGGGGGAUCGCAAGACCUCUCGCUAUUGGAGCGGCCGAUGUCAGAUUAGCUAGUUGGUGGGGUAAAGGCCUACCAAGGCAACGAUCUGUAGUUGGUCUGAGAGGACGACCAGCCACACUGGGACUGAGACACGGCCCAGACGCCUACGGGAGGCAGCAGUGGGGAAUUUUGGACAAUGGGCGCAAGCCUGAUCCAGCAAUGCCGCGUGCAGGAAGAAGGCCUUCGGGUUGUAAACUGCUUUUGUCAGGGAAGAAAUCUUCUGGGUUAAUACCUCGGGGGGAUGACGGUACCUGAAGAAUAAGCACCGGCUAACUACGUGCCAGCAGCCGCCGUAAAAC
rnacentral:rRNA from 1 species